rnacentral:lncRNA from 1 species
CAGGGGAGGAAAGGUCUUGAGGGAGCAGCACGCUUGCCUGAUGGGUGCCCAAAGCCAGGGGCAGGUGGAGGUGAGAGAAGGACAAGCUCUGCAAACGUUGCGGAAGCGCUCUGUCCAUGGAGAAGGCACAGGACUUCCAUGUGGGGAGCAGCUUACUCCUGCUGAGAACUUUGGGGAGACAGAGUGGAGCAGCCAUCUCAGACCUGAGCGGCUAAGGAGCUGGGUCCCCCUCUGUCGCACUGUGCAGAGCUGCUGGACUUUGCAGUAAGCAGCCUUCAGGUCUAAAGGCUCCACAUUGUAAGGAAGCCCAGUCACAUGGACAGACCAUAUGGGUCCAGUUGGCUGCCCCAGCCAAGGUUUCAGCCAACAGCCAAGAUUACCCACAGCCACGUGUAUGAAUGAGCCUUCAAAUGAGUCCAGCACCCAGCAGAAUAAUGCCCCCUCCCGUCUCACAAAGAUUUCCAUGCCCUAAUUCCUGGAACCUGUGAAUCUGCUACAUCACAUGGCAAGCAGAGCUGGCAGAUGGAAUUUAGGGUGUGGAGCUUGAGGUGGGGAGGGCAGCCUGGAUUACACAGGUGGGCCCUAUCUAAGCACAUGAGCCCUUAUACAAGCAAAGAACAUUUCCUCAGCUGCCAGACAGCUGGCAAACAGAAUUGGAGGGGCAGAGAGAUGUAAUCAGAAAGGGCAGAAGAGACUUAAAAGGAAGAGAGGCUCGACCUGCUGUGGCUACCUUUGAAAAUGGAGGAAUGGGGCUCCAAGCCAAGGGAUGCAGGCUGCCUCUUCAUUGGAGUACUGCCAGCAAGAAAACAGCCCAGCAAUUGCAAGGAAAUUAAUUUUCCCAACAGUCUGAAUGAGCAAGAAAAUGGACUCUCCCCUGCCACGCCCUGAGUUCAGCCUUGUGAGACUCUAAGCAGAUACCCACUCAAGCCCACAGGACGUCCAACCCAUAACAAUUGUAAGAUAAUAAACUGGGAUAGUUUUAA